ensembl:lincRNA
UAUGAAAAUUGUACUGGAUCUGUAACAGAUAUGAUUGAUGUAUUUUAUUUUUAAGUUGUCAAACAUUCAGUUAAUGAUGUGUGUUGUAACUUUUCAGGAAGGGACAUUUGCAGAGACUGACUAAUGGUAUGACAUUGUGAAAAGCAGUUACAGAUUAAAAUUUUUUUAUUUUUGCAGAUGAUAGUGUCGAACAAAGAAAGAAGAUCUGGAUGACAAAGAGAAAAAUGAUGAAGAAGAAACUCCUGCACCUGUGUACAGCGCAAGUCAAUUCUGGACAGUUGGUUAUGAGGUCUGGGCAGCGUUCUCCUGAACAGCCUGAAGCAGACGGUGGUGACCCUGGCCAGCAGCGCGGGCGUGCUGAGCACCAUGCAGUCGUCCGCCCAGGCCGUGCCGCAGAGCGGCUGGUCCGUGCUGCUGCCCAGCGCCGAGGAGCGGGCCCGGGCACUCUCUGCUCCCCUGCCCUGCGCAGGUGGGCUUGGGGAAGGAACAGGAGAGGGCAUGGGUCACGGUGCUGGGAGGGGAUGGCGUUUCACUCAAAUUGGCACACACUUUCUAUUUCAGUUUCAGGCAAUGACGUGAACAUAAGUCGAGGUUGUCAAUUCAUGAGUGAUCUUCUGGUGGGCAGCUUGAUGGCUGCUGGAGGGUUGGAGUCAGCCUUAUACGCAGCCAUUACUGCAGAGAUCCAGGUAUGGCCUUGGAGGCACACGUGACCUGGUGGUGCUCUGAGAUCGGAAAUACCACACUCACACGUGAAGAAUAACUGAAAACAGUAAAACUAACUUGUAUCAUAUCCAAGUAUUUUUUAAACUCUUUUAUGUGCUAAUUUAAACAAUUACUGAGAUAUGAUUUAAUUGUGCAAUCCUGGGUGUUGUCUGUUUCAGUGAAGUUAACAGGUAACUUGUCCAUCAUGUAGACCAUUCCCAACACCGGGGAAGAUCCCUGUGCCCCUUGGCACUCGCAGCCAGGACGCUCCCCUGCCCUCAGAUGAGAUUCAUUUUCCUGCUCUGAGUGUUGCAGCAAUGUAACUGCAGAGGCUGCACUCUUUCCUGCGUUGCCUUGGAGAAGGAUUUUCGGAUUCACUCACACUGAUGUGUGUCUUGUGACUUGGUUUUUAUUAUUGGGAAGUUUUCCAUUUUAUAGGUGCAGUGCUGGUUGUUAGUUCAUUCUCCUAUUGAAGGAGAUUUAAUUGGUUUUUUUUGUUUUGGUUUUUUUUUUUUUUUGAGACAGGGUCUUGCUCUGUCACCCAGGCUGGAUACAGUGACCUGAUCUUGGCUCACUGCAGCCUGGUCCUCCUCGGCUCAAACGAUCCUCCCACCUCAGCCUCCUGUGUUGCAGGGACCACAGUCAGGUCACGAUGCCUGGCUAGUUUUUUGAUUUUUUUGUAGAGACAAGGUUUCACUAUGUUGCACAGGCUGGUCUCGAACUCCUGGGCUCAAGUGAUCCCCCAGCCUUGGCCUCCCAAAGUGUUGGGAUUACAAGCGUGAGCCACCGCGCCCAGGCUUUUUGGUUUUUGGCCGUGUAGAGCUGCCACGAUUGUGCUGUGUACAAGUACUUCAGUGAACAUACGUUCUCCCUUCGGGUAAACACCUGGAGUGGAAUUUGUUAGGUCCUGGGGUAAGUAGCUGUUUAUGGUUUCGCAAAGUGGCUUUGCCGUUUACACUUGAACCAGUGUGUGUGAGAAUUCUAGCUUCUUGUCCUCACAAAGCAGCUGGAUGCGGCAUGUGUGGGCGGAUCACAUGGGUGUUUGUGAGAGCCAGGAGCAGGGUUAAGGAUUUUAGGGACUUCAUCAGAGAAGCGAGCUGAGAGAUAGCAGAGAGCCUGGACCGCUGGAUCUGUUUGGGAAAGGAAG